UCUGGAUCCUGGCUCGAUUGAACGCCAUGGAUAAGCCACAUGCAAGUCGAACGGCAGCACGGACUUGCUAUUCAUAGCGAGUGGCGAACGGGUGAGUAAUGUAUCGGAACGUGCCUAGUAGCGGGGAUAACUACGCGAAAGGUAGCUAAUAAUUUACGCCCUUCGGGAGCGGGGACCUUCGGGCCUCGCACUACUAGAGCGGCCGAUAUCGGAUUAGCUAGUUGGUGGGGUAACGCUCACUGCCGCAUCAGAUCCGAAGUUGGUUUGCGACGACCCGCCACACUGGGACUGACACGGCCCAGACUCCUACGGGAGGCAGCAGUGGGAAUUUUGGACAAUGGGGAAACCCUGAUCCAGCCAUCCUGUGUGCGAUGAAGGCCUUCAAGCCAAAGCACUUCUGCAGAGGAAACGGUACGUGGAUAAUACCCCGUGCAACUGACGGUAACGUAGAAUAAGCAGCACCGGCGAAUCACGCCAGCAGGUAAUACGUAGGGUGCAAGCGUUAAUCGGAAUUACUGGGCGCAGCGCAGGCGGUUUCAAGAAAGAUGUGAAAUCCCAGAGCUUAACUUUUGGAACUGCAUUUUUAACUACUGGAGCUUAGAGUGUGUCAGAGGGAGGUGGAAUUCCCGCGUGUGGCAGAAAUGUAGAUAUGCGGAGGAACACCGGAUGGCGACAGCCUCCUGGGAUAACACUGACGUCACGCACGAAAGCGUGGGGAGCAAACAGGAUUAGAUACCCUCCUGGUAGUCCACGCCUGAGAAACGAUAACUAAGCAAUGUUCUGGUAGCGCAGCUAACGCGUGAAGUUGACCGCCUGGGGAGUACGGUCGCAAGAUUAAACUCAAAGGACAGAUCGACCCGCACAAGCGUGGAUGAUGUGGAUUAAUUCGAUGCAACGCGAAAAACCUUACCUACCCUUGACAUGUCUGGAAUCCUGAAGAGAUUUGGGAGUACCGCGCGAGAACCGAACAAAAGUUACAUGUCGCCGUCAGUGUCGAGAGAUGUUGGGUUAAGUCCCGCAACGAGCGCAACCCUUGUCAUUAGUUAAGGCUGAAAGGGCACCCAUCGAGACUGCCGGUGACAAACCGGAGGAAGGUGGGGAUGACGUCAAGUCCUCAUGGCCCUUAUGGGUAGGGCUUCACACGUCAUACAAUGGUCGGGACAGAGGUCGCCAACCCGCGAGGGGAGCCAAUCCCAGAAACCCGACUGUAGUCCGAUCGUGCAGUCUGCAACUCGACUGCGUGAAGUCGGAAUCGCUAGUAAUCGCGGAUCAGCAUGUCGCGGUGAAUACGUUCCUGGUCUGUACACACCGCCCGUCACACCAUGGAGUGGUUUUACCAGAAGUAGUUAGCCAACCGUAAGGAGGGCGAUUACCACGGUAGGAUUCAUGAUCAGUGAAGUCGUAACAAGGUA
rnacentral:rRNA from 1 species